rnacentral:rRNA from 1 species
GGUUUUGGAUGGACUCGCGGCCUAUCAGCUUGUUGGUGGGGUAAUGGCCUACCAAGGCGACGACGGGUAGCCGGCCUGAGAGGGUGACCGGCCACACUGGGACUGAGACACGGCCCAGACUCCUACGGGAGGCAGCAGUGGGGAAUAUUGCACAAUGGGCGAAAGCCUGAUGCAGCGACGCCGCGUGAGGGAUGACGGCCUUCGGGUUGUAAACCUCUUUCAGUAGGGAAGAAGCCCUCUUUGGGGGUGACGGUACUUGCAGAAGAAGCGCYGGCUAACUACGUGCCAGCAGCCGCGGUAAUACGUAGGGCGCAAGCGUUAUCCGGGAAUUAUUGGGCGUAAAGAGCUCGUAGGCGGUUUGUCGCGUCUGCUGUGAAAGACCGGGGCUCAACUCCGGUUCUGCAGUGGGUACGGGCAGACUAGAGUGCAGUAGGGGAGACUGGAAUUCCUGGUGUAGCGGUGAAAUGCGCAGAUAUCAGGAGGAACACCGAUGGCGAAGGCAGGUCUCUGGGCUGUAACUGACGCUGAGGAGCGAAAGCAUGGGGAGCGAACAGGAUUAGAUACCCUGGUAGUCCAUGCCGUAAACGUUGGGCACUAGGUGUGGGGGACAUUCCACGUUUUCCGCGCCGUAGCUAACGCAUUAAGUGCCCCGCCUGGGGAGUACGGCCGCAAGGCUAAAACUCAAAGGAAUUGACGGGGGCCCGCACAAGCGGCGGAGCAUGCGGAUUAAUUCGAUGCAACGCGAAGAACCUUACCAAGGCUUGACAUGGACCGGAAAGACCUGGAAACAGGUGCCCCGCUUGCGGCCGGUUUACAGGUGGUGCAUGGUUGUCGUCAGCUCGUGUCGUGAGAUGUUGGGUUAAGUCCCGCAACGAGCGCAACCCUCGUUCUAUGUUGCCAGCGGUUCGGCCGGGGACUCAUAGGAGACUGCCGGGGUCAACUCGGAGGAAGGUGGGGACGACGUCAAAUCAUCAUGCCCCUUAUGUCUUGGGCUUCACGCAUGCUACAAUGGCCGGUACAAAGGGUUGCGAUACUGUGAGGUGGAGCUAAUCCCAAAAAGCCGGUCUCAGUUCGGAUUGGGGUCUGCAACUCGACCCCAUGAAGUCGGAGUCGCUAGUAAUCGCAGAUCAGCAACGCUGCGGUGAAUACGUUCCCGGGCCUUGUACACACCGCCCGUCAAGUCACGAAAGUUGGUAACACCCGAAGCCGGUGGCCUAACCCUUGUGGGGGAGCCGUCGAAGUGACCCCUGCG